rnacentral:rRNA from 1 species
CGCGCGGUUCUAUUUUGUUGGUUUCUAGGACCGCCGUAAUGAUUAAUAGGGACAGUCGGGGGCAUCCGUAUUCAAUUGUCAGAGGUGAAAUUCUUGGAUUUAUUGAAGACGAACUACUGCGAAAGCAUUUGCCAAGGAUGUUUUCAUUAAUCAGUGAACGAAAGUUAGGGGAUCGAAGACGAUCAGAUACCGUCGUAGUCUUAACCAUAAACUAUGCCGACUAGGGAUCGGUGGGUGUUAUUAUUUUGACCCCAUCGGCACCUUACGAGAAAUCAAAGUUUUUGGGUUCUGGGGGGAGUAUGGUCGCAAGGCCGAAACUUAAAGAAAUUGACGGAAGGGCACCACCAGGCGUGGAGCCUGCGGCUUAAUUUGACCCAACACGGGGAAACUCACCAGGUCCAGACACAAGUAGGAUUGACAGAUUGAGAGCUCUUUCUUGAUUUUGUGGGUGGUGGUGCAUGGCCGUUCUUAGUUGGUGGAGUGAUUUGUCUGCUUAAUUGCGAUAACGAACGAGACCUUAACCUGCUAAAUAGCCCGGCCCGCUUCGGCGGGUCGCCGGCUUCUUAGAGGGACUAUCGGCUCAAGCCGAUGGAAGUUUGAGGCAAUAACAGGUCUGUGAUGCCCUUAGAUGUUCUGGGCCGCACGCGCGCUACACUGACAGAGCCAACGAGUUCAUCACCUUGGCCGGAAGGUCUGGGUAAUCUUGUUAAACUCUGUCGUGC